UGAACUGCACAUUACCUGCGGAUUCACUUGUGGCCUUCAUGAGGCUGGCUACGACUUUUCCUGCGGAUUUCUGGAUUAGGGUUUUUUGCAUGAAGUCGUUAUUGUUGCAUCAGCAUGGGCCAAUCAGAUUAUUUCGUUGCCUUGCCCUAAACGCGGUCGUUUGGUUAAGUGGCUUUGUUAAUUACAAGUUUGCCACUCGGGGCACAUGACACAU
rnacentral:lncRNA from 1 species